AUAUUUUAGGAUAAAUUUGAUAAAAUUCAAACAUUACAGAGAAGAUUAAUACGAUCUCUGCUCCAGGAUGACACAAAAUUGACAAAUGGUCAAUUUUUUU
rfam:Picea glauca, whole genome shotgun sequence.